GGAAACUGGGGAUAAUUCCGGAUAACGCACAUAUGCUGAAAUGUUUUAUGCGUAAAAUGGAUUCGUUUGCCCAAGGAUGGGUUUGCGGCCUAUCAGGUAGUAGUGGGUGUAAUGUACCUACUAGCCACCAACGGGUACGGGUUGUGAGAGCAAGAGCCCGAAGAUGGAUUCUGAGACAUGAAUCCAGGCCCUACGGGGCGCAGCAGGCGCGAAAACUUUACAAUGCGGGAAACCGUGAUAAGGGGACACCGAGUGCCAGCAUCAUAUGCUGGCUGUCCAGGUGUGUAAAAUACACCUGUUAGCAAGGGCCGGGCAAGACCGGUGCCAGCCGCCGCGGUAACACCGGCGGCCCGAGUGGUGAUCGUGAUUAUUGGGUCUAAAGGGUCCGUAGCCGGUUUGGUCAGUCCUCCGGGAAAUCUGACGGCUUAACCGUUAGGCUUUCGGGGGAUACUGCCAGGCUUGGAACCGGGAGAGGUAAGAGGUACUACAGGGGUAGGAGUGAAAUCUUGUAAUCCCUGUGGGACCACCUGUGGCGAAGGCGUCUUACCAGAACGGGUUCGACGGUGAGGGACGAAAGCUGGGGGCACGAACCGGAUUAGAUACCCGGGUAGUCCCAGCCGUAAACGAUGCUCGCUAGGUGUCAGGCAUGGCGCGACCGUGUCUGGUGCCGCAGGGAAGCCGUGAAGCGAGCCACCUGGGAAGUACGGCCGCAAGGCUGAAACGUAAAGGAAUUGGCGGGGGAGCACAA
rnacentral:rRNA from 1 species